rnacentral:rRNA from 1 species
UGGGGGAAUAUUGCACAAUGGGGGGAACCCUGAUGCAGCGACGCCGCGUGAAGGAAGAAGGUAUUCGUAUUGUAAACUUCUGUCGCAGAUGACGAAAGGAUGACGGUAAUCUGUAAGAAAGCACCGGCUAACUACGUGCCAGCAGCCGCGGUAAACGUAGGGUGCUAGCGUUGUCCGGAAUUACUGGGUGUAAAGGGAGCGCGGGUGGCAGUGCAAGUUGGAUGUAAAAAUCUACGGGCUCAACCCGUAUAAGCAUUCAAAACUGUGCAGCUUGAGUGAAGUAGG